CAAUAGCGUAUAUUAAAGUUGUUGCAGUUAAAAAGCUCGUAGUUGAAUUUUUGCUUGCCGCCGAUGUCGGAACUUCCGUACGUUCGGCGGCGUGCAUCCUUGGGUGGAACCUGUGUGGCAUUAGGUUGUCGUGCAGGGGAUGCUCAUCGUUUACUGUGAAAAAAUUAGAGUGUUCAAAGCAGGCUUACGCCGUUGAAUAUAUUAGCAUGGAAUAAUAAGAUAGGACCUUGGUACUAUUUUGUUGGUUUGCGCACCGAGGUAAUGAUUAACAGGGACAGUUGGGGGUAUUCGUAUUUAAUUGUCAGAGGUGAAAUUCUUGGAUUUAUGAAAGACGAACGACUGCGAAAGCAUUUACCAAGGAUGUUUUCAUUA
rnacentral:rRNA from 1 species